AUUAUAAAUUACAGUCAUUUUUCAUUAGUUAUAAUAAUGAUCCGCAGUCCAGCGGUGCAACGCGCGAGACGUUCUGGUCAAGUUAUUUCAGUAAAUCGAGUUUACCCGGGCCAAACGUAUACCUAUAUAAUGAUAUUAUUACUGUCAAAAGACACACGCGGAUAUCAAUUUCGUAACAACUGCAAUAGUUUAACAUAUAUUUUCUUUUUAUAACCGCACUUUUUUAAUCGAUUCAGAUCCACUCGAUUUAUAAUUGCAUACUCAAUAUAUAUAUAUGUAUCUAUGCGAUCAUUGAACGAUUUCACAUCAGUUAUUUUUUAUUUACUCAAAUACAAUUAUUGUUAUAUGCAUAUAUUUUUAACUUACAGUUGCUGGAAUCAACGUAUAUUUUGUAUGAAAAACACGCCUCACGAGAAAACUCCCAUCCCUCGUAGAAUAAUUGGAUUGGAAGAGGAAGACUUCUUUAUAGGUCACGUUAAACUCCGACUUUCAAAAUUCAAAUGUUUAGAAACUGCGUUAAGCGUCCGAUUACAUUGUUUUUCAGACAUAU